UAUUCCCAGAUCGCCAACGAAACCCCCUCAAAACGCAGGCCUCGUCGGGUCUCCGCAGGAACGCGGCGAGGCGAGAAGGGGGGAAAGGGAGCAUCUCCUCCACGUUCCGGGGGCUUGCCUUAAGACGGGCACUUUCGACGCUGCCGCAUCUGCCGCAACGGAUUGACUCCCGCGCGUAGUGCAGGGGCCUUGCAACUUCUGUACUCGCAGCGAUGGCAGGAAUAGACUCACGCGAGGGGCAAAGCUUAUUAAUCAACUACCUCAUCCUGAUCGUGCUCCUGCUUAUCUUAUGGGUCCUCUACGUCGGAGACAGUUCUGAAGCCUAACCGGAAGUUGCACAAUGUAGUGCCGGUUGACUGUGCAUCGGUUGGGAUAUUCAAAAUGCAGUCAUCUGUUCGGAACCAUAUGUAAACAGGACACACGGACUCUCAAGCAGCAGUGGCCAUCCUCUGCAGAACCUGAGGGCUGCCAAGAACUGCAGUUCUGACAAGAAAAGAUGAAGGGGACACCUCUGCCAAGAAAGCAUCGAAAGACGCAUGCUCGCAAAUUCCACUUCGAUGGGGCCAGACAUGUUGGCCUUGCAUAGUACCAAGAACAUUGUCAGCAGCACAUAAAUUUACAGGAAAAAAACUAAUUGGCACAAGCGCAGAUAAGCCCACAGAGGAGCAUCCACAGAGGAAGCAAGCAGCCUGUUGUUCAUGUAUAUAUAAAAUGUGUGCCUUACACCCUACAAGAAUGUUCUGUAGAUAGAGUUCAAAGCAAUUAUCGCUUGUUCAACACAUGCUUCUGCAAGACUCAUUUAGAGGCCUCUUGAGACCACCUUUGUGCUUGGACAUCAUCAGUGUAUGUAUCGUGCCACAUCUCUCAUGUCAAUAAAACGUAGAGGCUGUUGCGCCAUCCCGCUAAGGUUGUAGAGAAUCGACGUCAAAUAAAUAGAAGAGCUGAAAUAAAAUUUGUUACCAAUGGUUA